rnacentral:tmRNA from 1 species
GGGGUCGACUGGUUUUGACAGCAAGUCGAAUUGAAAAGUAAGCACGUCGAGAACGGAGACAAAUCUCGUAAAUCCAUGUCUCAAAACAUUUACACGGCGAAGGAAACUACGCUCUUGCUGCAUAAUCUGAAUUAUAGUAAGAUUAGCCUCGUCCUACCAGGUAGGAAAGCAGGAUUCAUCUCGAAAGCUUUGGUUUAUAGCGGUCGAUACAGAUGAAUCGUAAAGAUAGACCUAGAUUUUCACUAGCUUCGGGUGGAUUUCGAAAUUAAGAAGCUAAGCGUUUGGUGGUUGUUUCUGUCCUAGCCCAACGUCGAAAACCUAAACAGGAAAUAAGCGUGUAGAAAGUUUUUUAGUUGCUUGUUUGGACCCGAGUUCGAUUCUCGGCGACUCCACUA